UUUUUCGCUUUAGGCAUAAACUAUACUAUGUUAUUGUGACCCUCACAAAGUGUGGUCACAUUUGUUUGGUUUAAUUGUGAUCUUAAUUUAGGAUUUGACCCCGUUUUAAAAUUUGUAAAUCAAUGUCACGCAGUAGCAUAAAUGCGCCGCUAGAUGGCAGAAGUGGGACAUUACGGGACUGACGGUGCAACAUUUCUGUGUCGAAAAAAAAGCUCUCCUCCAUUCGGAUGAGAGCUACCAGCGCAGCAACACCGUCUCCUGUGACUCACUUCUUUCUUCUGUUAAAACAGUGAGGGGGGAGAGGCUGAACAUUGGUCAUUUGACCUCAGAGAGUGCAUUGUGGUUUAAAUCUGUCAUAAACUCACACCACUAACCAUCCGGCGGUUAUUUAGGACACCAAGUAUCACAAAGCUGCAAACCGCAUGUCUAAAAGUUCUUCCUUCCUUCACACCCACAGGCCAUGUGACCCGGUCAGCUCCGUCACAGAGACACAGAGAAACGUCUGGGCUUCCUUCCAUCCUUCAGAUGGCGUGGCCGAGCGCCAAGCCAUCCAAGGCUCAAACGCUUCUGCUGUCCAGGAAGAGUGACUCUUCAGACUUUCUCCUCUGUAUCAGUUGAUUUCCUGCUCUCUGUUAUCGCCACAGCAUGAGGAGCUGAGUCGCCUUACACACACGCACACAACUAACCACCAGGGCUCUUAAUUAAAGUCAUAGAGAACUGCUGUGUGUGGAAUUACGGCAUGAGUGAUAAAGACAUUCAUUUUCACACCAAAACUUGAGUCACUGCACCCUGCUAACCAAAA